rnacentral:tRNA from 2 species
UCCCGCGUAGCUCAGUGGUAGAGCGGUCGGCUGUUAACCGAUUGGCCGUAGGUUCGAGUCCUACCGCGGGAGCCA